rnacentral:lncRNA from 1 species
AAAGACUGCUAAUAUUAGAAGUUGAAGGUGCAUUACUACACUACAAAUUACCUAUUAUCGUUCUCUCUUUCAAAUGUUGGUUGUAUCUGUCUAAUAAUGCAGAGAUGGUAUAACUUUGGAGCUUUUGACACAAUUUCCACAAUGUUUUCUGCUUGAGUCAUAGAAAAAUUAUGAGAAUAACUCCUGAUUGAAUAGUACCAAGUUUGUUCGACUGAUAUGAUAUUGCAUGCUCUGCAGGAAUCUACAGUUACAUUCUGGUGGCUGAGAUGUAGAAACGAGUUGUUGGUGUAGUUUCUCCCAUUCUAAAGGUCGACUGCAGAGAUUGAGCCUCUAUGUAGCAUGCAUUGGUCAGCUGUUAAAUGAACUUGUAGGAACUAAUCGCUUGGAUUUAUCUAUUAUCUAACUUAUGUAGACAUUCUCGGCUGGCAUGAAGGAACAUUAAUUUGCUUCCAUUAAUUAGUACUUGUCCCUCUCGGUUCGCUUAAUUUGCAAGCAAGUAUGUUCCAGUUUUCUGUGUCUUUUUGUUGAUUUUGUUAUCUAAUUCUGUCUAGUGAAUGUGAACUGCAG